CUCCCAGUUCAUUCCCAGUGAUCCCAGUGACUCCCAGUAGCUCCCAGUUCAUGCCCAUUAAAUCCCAGUGUUCCCAGUAUCCCCAUCCCAGUGCUCCCAGUAUCCCAAUCCCAGUGCUCCCAGUAUCCCAGUAACUCCCAGUAGCUCCCAAUUCAUUCCCAGUGACUCCCAGUGCUCCCAGUGCUCCCAGUAACCCCAUCCCAGUGCUCCCAGUGCUCCCAGUAUCCCAUUCCCGGUACUCCCAGUGCUCCCAGUAUUCCCAGUAACUCUCAUUAUCCCAUCCCAGUAUCCCCAGUAUCCCAUUCCCAGUGCUCCCAGUAUCCCCAGUAUCCCAUUCCCAGUGCUCCCAGUAUUCCCAGUUAUCCCAUUCCCAGUGCUCCCAGUAUCCCCAGUUAUCCCAUUCCCAGUGCUCCCAGUGCUCCCAGUAACCCCAUCCCAGUGCUCCCAGUGCUCCCAGUAUUCCCAGUAUCCCAAUCCCAGUGCUCCCAGUAUUCCCAGUAACUCUCAUUAUCCCAUCCCAGUAUUCCCAGUAUCCUGUUCCCAGUGCUCCCAGUGCUCCCAGUAUCCCAAAAUUCCACCUUUAACCCAAACCCACCCAAAUUUGGGUUAAAAAACCC
rnacentral:lncRNA from 1 species